rnacentral:rRNA from 1 species
GAUGAACGCUAGCGGCAGGCCUAGUACAUGCAAGUCGGACGGGAUUCAGGAGCUUGCUUCUGAUGAGAGUGGCGCACGGGUGCGUAACACGUAUGUAACCUACCUUUAUCAGGGGGAUAGCCUCUCGAAAGAGAGAUUAAGCCCGCAUAAAAUCACAGCACAGCAUUGUGUAAUGAUCAAAUAUUUAUAGGAUAAAGAUGGGCAUGCGGAACAUUAGCUAGAUGGCGGGGUAACGGCCCACCAUGGCGACGAUGUUUAGGGGAUCUGAGAGGAUGGCCCCCCACACUGGUACUGAGACACGGACCAGACUCCUACGGGAGGCAGCAGUAAGGAAUAUUGGUCAAUGGGCGGAAGCCUGAACCAGCCAUGCCGCGUGCAGGAAGACGGCCCUACGGGUUGUAAACUGCUUUUAUACGGGAAUAAACCCAGAUACGUGUAUCUGGCUGAAUGUACUGUAAGAAUAAGGAUCGGCUAACUCCGUG